GUGUUUUUUGUACCAAAAAAUGCAUUUUACAACUUUUACUGUAGUCGAACUUUACAAUGUCAUACAUUUCAAAAUUAAUCCUUAGAUGACUGUUCAUAUCAUGGUUGAUCGUUAUACGCCAAAGAAUUAGUACUUUGUGCGCAGCCUCCAUUCAAACGGAUAACCGCAUCUAAACGUCUUCUGAAUCCUGCCAUAAAUCGACUAAUUUGUUGCUAAGGUAGCAGCAACCAUUUCUGAUGUGGGCAUUGUUUAUUUCAUGAUGUGUUUGAACUGGGGUGUCUUUUCGCGCACUUUCCGCCCAAUAGUGUCCCAAAUAUGCUCGAUAUGGUUGAAAUCCGGGCUACGAUCGUUCCAUGGAAGAUAAACCGAAUUCCAUUUGAACAUUGAAUCUUCCUCCACGAUGCUAAUUUCCAACUUUGGCGAGCUCUGCACUACAUUGGAUACGGAAAACUGUGUGUCUGUUCGUUAGCAAAGGUCUCCGAAAUGGUCUUAUCGCACGAUCACCAGUAGCGAUGAGUCGAUCUCGAACAGUUCUUGUUAAAAAGCUCCUGUAUGGCCACCACUCUCUUUUUAGGAUUGUCCUGUAUGCAAUGGGUUUCCUUCUGACCAACCUUCAUUAUGCUUGAUUUUCCUUAGCAAAUGGUAUAGGGGGUCUUCAUUAUCUUGAAAUGUCUUUAACAGCGUUUAUUGCCUGAUUUAUUCUCAAAACGACUUAUAGUGAAAUGGUGAUGACCAACAAUACGUGUAGUUUUUACAUCGACAUCCCUGCUUCCCUUGUGCUGAUAAUCUGCCAUCUGGCUG
rnacentral:lncRNA from 1 species